CCAUGCAGUGAGGCCUCGGCUGGCUCGCUGGGGCACAGGCCGGCCUCUUCCCUCGGCUACAGGCGCCACCGCGCAGCCCACGGAGGACAACGCCACUAGCU